rnacentral:lncRNA from 1 species
AUGGGUCGGUUCUCAGCUCCCAUCUGGGAGCUUGUGGAGAUCAGGAGCACGAUGACAUCUCUUUUUUUAUUUAAUUUUUUUUUAAAUUCUCCAUAUAAACCAAUAUUUACCAGUAAUCCUGUGUUUCUGUUUUUGUUUUUUGGCAGACUUUUACCAGUAAAUAUCGGUUUAUUCCUGAAACCAGAAGCCCUAAACAUACCUUUGUUUAUAAGUGCACUGGUGUACCAAGCCUCAGAACCACUGCUUUCUCCAGCUCAUAGGAUGCUUUUCCAGACUGUGGAUACGUGUAUGUGUACUGCUGUGUUGAUAAGUAAAUGCCAACGAUGGAGUUCGUUGCUUUUAUACAUCCCAAAGAGAAGUUCUCCACCGUUCCCUGUCUGUUUUCUGACCGAAAAGGCGUGUGUUUGUGAACAGUGCUCACGCCAGCUCUGCCACCCCACCCUCACAUCAGCUCACACCAAUGCCAGGAUGGGAGGAGUUGCCUGCGUACCUUCCCCAAAACACCCCGGGCCGCAGUGGCAUCGUCAGGGAGCAGUUCAAACCUGUGUCCUUUGGGCUUUGUGUAAAGCAAAUGCAGAACAAGAAAAAUCGAGAUGUUAAAUCCAUUAGAAAACCAAUUCCUUAUUGUACAGUAGUAUGGAGAUCUCUAGUCAACUUGCCAUUAAUAAUAGAUUCUUAUUUUUUGAAUGAUCUAUUUAAAAGAACAGCAAGCAUUGUAUUUGCUAGUAAAUCUGAAGUGUUUACAUGGAAUUACUAAAUAAAUUAUUUGAUCUAAGAU